GGAGCGGAGUUAGGGUCGCCAGGCCGAGCCGAGGUGGGACGGACCGACGCAGAGAGGAAGGGAAGCCACCUGGCCUGAAGAUCCUGUCUCUAAGAUCCCAUUCUGAGGCUUCGAGGGUCUGGCUUGAGCAGCACAGACAGGGACGUGUCUAACCGGGAUGACCAUGAGGUCUCAUCGCAGUUUGCCACUAACCAGGACCCUAGGAGUGCUGUUUUAUUGUCUCCACCUGACAGAUAAGGAAAUGGCAGCUGACCCAGGUCAAGGAAGUUCCUGAGGUCCCAGGGCUAAUAAGUGGCCUGACUCCACCACCAGCCCCCAGGAGGAAGCCAACCCCAGCCCUAGAAAAACCCAAUUCCUGAGUGAGUGCUGUAA
rnacentral:lncRNA from 1 species